GGAAUUUUUACCCUAUCAACUAUCGAUGGUAGGAUACUGACCUACUAUGGUGGUAGAAUUAGGGUUCGAUUUCGAAAAGGGAUCCUGAGAAAUGGCUACCACGUCCAAGAAUGGCAGCAGGCUCGCAAAUUACCCAAUUCUGACACGGGAAGGUAGUGCCAAUAAAUAACAAUACCAGGCUCUAUGAGUCCGGUAAUUGGAAUGCGUACAAUCUAAAUCCCAUAAUAAGGAUCAAUUAGAGGGAAAUUCUGGUGCGACAACCGCGGUAAUUCCAGCUCCAAUAGCGUAUAUUCAAGUUGUUGCAAUUAAAAAGCUUGUAGUUGGACUUUGGGUUGGGCUAGCCAGUCUGCCCUUGGUUGUGUACCGGUUGUCCUAUCCCUUCUACCGAUGAUACGCUCCUGGUAUUAAUUGACUGGCUCGUGCCUCCGAUGCUACUACUUUGAAGAAAUUAGAGUGCUCAAUGCAAGCCCAAGCUCUAGAUACCUUAGCAUGGAAUAACAUUAUAGGAUUUUGGUCCUAUUGCGUUGGCCUUCUGGAUCGGAAUAAUUAUUUACAUGAUUAGUCGGGGGCAUUCGUAUUUCAUAGUGAGAGGUGAAAUUCUUGGACUUAUGAAAAACGAACUACUGCGAAUGCAUUUGCCAAUGAUGUUUUCAUUAAUCAAGAACGAAAUUUGGGGGCUCGAAGACGAUCAGAUGCCGUCCUAGUCUCAACCACAAAUGAUGUCAACUAGGGAUCAACAAAUGUUACUUACUGGAGUUCGCCAGCACCUUAUAAGAAAAUCAAAGUUUUUGGAUUCUUAUGGGAGUAUGGUCGCAAGAUUGAAACUUAAAGGAAUUGACGGAAGGGCACCACUAGUAGUGGAGCUUGUGGGUAAUUUGACUCAACACGGGGAAACUUACCAGGUCUAGACUUAGUAAGGAUUGACAGACUGAGAGCUCGUUCUUAAUUCUAUGGGUUGUGUGCAUGGUCAUUCUUAGUUGGUGGAGUCAUUUUUCUGUUUAAUUCCGUUAACGAACCCGUCGACUGUUGGUGGACCGCUUGAGCUGCUUCUGCAGCGAGAGCGGGUCAUUGCAUGCCGACUGGGGGAUGGACUUGAAAUGGUCCCUUUGGGGGCCUUCCCCGGGCAUCAAACAGUCGACUUAGAACUGGUACGAACAAGGGAAAUCCGGUUGUUUAAUUAAAACAAUGUAUUGCGAUGGUCCUAACGGAUGCUAACGCAAUUUGAUUUAUGCCCAAUGAUCUGAAUGUCAAAGUUAAGAAAUUAAACUAAACACGGGUAAACGUUAGGAAUAACUAUGACUCUCUUAAGGUAGCCAAACGCGUCGUCAUAUAAUUAGUGACACACAUGAAUGGAUUGACGAGAUUCCCAUUAUCCCUGCCUACUAUCCAACGAAACCACAACCAAGGGAACGAGCUUGGCAGAAUCAGCUAGGAAACAAUACCCUGUUGAGCUUGCCUCUAGUCCGACUUUGUGAAAUGACUUGAUAGGUGUAGGAUAAGUGGGAGGCGCUGCAUCGAAAGUGAAAUACCACUACUUUUAACGUUAUUUCACUUAUUCCAUGAGUCGAAAAUGGGGCACUGCCACUCUUUUUGGAUUUAUUAGUCGUCUCAGCGGCCCGAUUGGGGCAGAAGACAUUGUCAGGUUAUGAGUUUGGUUGUGGAAGCACAUCUGUUAAAAUAUAAUAUAGGUGUUAUAAGAUGAGCUCAAUGAGAAUAGAAAUCUCGUGUGGAAUAGAAAGUUUAAAGCUCGUUUGAUUAUGAUUUCCAGUACAAAUACGAACUAUGAAAACGUGGCCUAUCGAUACAUUAGACUUUCGAAAUUUGAAGCUAGAGGUGUCAAAAAAGUUACCAUAGGGAUAACUGUCUUGUGGCAACCAAGCAUUCAUAGAGAUGUUUUUUAUCCUUCGAUGUAGGCUCUUCCUAUCAUUGUCAAAAAGAAUUCACCAAGUGUUCGAUUGUUCAUCCACCAAUAAAGAAAGUGAGCUUGGUUUAGACCGUUGUGAGACAGGUUAGUUUUACCCUGCUGAUUAUAGUGUCGCGAUAGUUAUUCAACCUAGUACGAGAGGAACCAUUGAUUCACACAAUUGGUCAUCGCGCUUGGUUGAAAAGCCAGUGGCACGAAGCAAAUGUGUGCAUGAUUAUGACUAAACGCCUCUAAGUCAACAUCCAGGCUAGAGAAGUGGCGCAUAUGCCCGUCGCCCGAUUGUUGACUUGUAGUUGCCAUUGGUGAGCUCCAUGACGGAUGAGUCGCGAGGGCAGCCAUGAAGUAUAAUUUCCAUCGAGAGAUUUUAUAUACGACUUAAAUACGCUACGAGUUAUUGUA
rnacentral:rRNA from 1 species